GAAGCCAACAAUCGAAUUUGGUUUUCACAUGAGAGUGCUAGCAGGAGGUUAGUUUGAUAGCGCUGUGAAAACCUGUUUGCAAAACUUUGCAAACGACUCCCAAAGUUUCAAAGCUUUGAAGGAAGGACGAUCCAAGCACCCAAAAAUGAGCUCCAGUGGAGUACGGCGUGAGCAGUACCUGCUCUCCAUUGGUGUCACCCGUAUUCUUGAUGAGCGCUAUGCUGAGCUGGUGAGUUCUGUCAGCGUACGCCAGAUGUUCGUCACCAACCUGAGAAACCGUCCUUUGAGCCCCAGCCAUGUGGACUCGAUGGAAAAUCUGGUUCUCUCAUUAUACCACAACCUGGUUACGGGGACGAAGGCGUUUCCUUAUAUUGCCUUCAGGGGAUUCUUUAACAAACUGCAGCUGAGGACACCUUUCACCCAUGUGCCAGAGAGUCAGAGGGAGAACAACACGCCAUCUCCUCCUACCGACUCACCAGCUGGUUUAAUGGUGCUGCCUGCAGGGUCCCACCUCCAUUCACGGUUGCUCACACCUCUACUUCCAGAGAAGGCAGAUCUUUCUGUCCUGAAGGCAGACCGGAGGAACUGCGUCUGCACCCUGCAUGUCGACGGCCGCACCAUCACCAGAGUCAUUUCCACUGUGUACUGCACAGAGGAGAGGGAAAUGACAAAUCGCUGGAGAGUUACAGACUACACCUCUGACGGCAGAGUAAUCAUGUCGGUGCUCUGCCAGUUUCUGAAGAGGUUUACACAGGGUGCAAAGAGGAAGCCUGCAGAGGAGGAGAGCAGCAGCAGGAGCCCCCCUCCACCAAGGAAACGUCUCCGGCUGUGAUCAGUAAUGAAGCCUUUCCUGGACAUAUAGCAUAUGGAUGUUACAUAUGGAUGUUUCCUCGUGCUUUGGAGCAAACUUUCGAACUCCUCAUGUCUGCGCUGUGUCUGGAAAGGCUGGAAACAUCUCUCCAUCUUACACAGAGACCAUCACCAUCACGGCUCGUCUGAGGAGUUAUUUCUGUACAUAUGUAUAUAGUUUUCUUUUUUUUAUUGAGAUACACAGGUCAGCGUUUUCAGUGCGUCUUGCACUUUUCUUUAUUUCUUGGUGCUGGCCUGUGUGUUUGAUAUGACUGCAAGGAAUAGAAGACUGACUGUAUUAUAUAAUCUGCGCAAAAAUGAACCAAUAAUCCAUGAAGACGGUGCAAAGUGUAAAUUAUCAUCUGCUGCAUCUCAGACAUUGGCGAGAAUGAACAAUGUGAAGAGAAGUCUGAACAGACCAACGGCCUGCCAGAGAAAUCCUCCUCCAAGCGCUCCGCUUCUCCAUCCGUGGAGCUGGAGCUCAACGCUGGCCGGCUGCAGUUUGACGGUCUACCUCUGGGGGCUGGAGCUGCAGGCCCUGGUCUACGAGUGGCCCAGGUACGACUAUUGGACCGCAGAACCAGCAGCAGGCCAAGCAGCCGACCUGGGACUCCAAAUUCCAACACUUCAUCCACCCCAACCCCCUCAGAGGAGCAGAAUGAUGGAGAGGAGGAGGCAGCAGAGCCCGAGGAUGAAGUUCAGGGUGCAGAGCUCGAGCGUUCUACAGUUUCUGCUCCGACCCUGUGACUCCUCAAGAGGCCCUUUCAGCUCCUAAUAGCAGCUGCUAUGGAGAGAAACCCCACUCAAUUUCAGCUGGAUUCAGGAUGUCAUCGCUCUCCAGUGCAGUAUCAUGCGACACCUAUCCAUCAAACAGAAGGCCUCGUCAACAGAGUGGGACUUUGAGAAGCAAAUACACAAUCAAGUGGACCAUCAGAGGACAUGAAAACUCAGGCCUCAUUAGAAAGGACUUCUUCCCCUGAUGCCUGCUCUAAAGCUUGCAGUACACCCAGUGACUCCCAGGGGGCCUCUCUUUCCAAGGACAGCCCAUCAGGGCUAGUUCUUUGCAAAUGCACCGUGACACCAUGUCAGAACUGUAGGAAACCUAAUGGACCUCUGGAAUUGGUUCAGCCUCCCAGAGCCAAUGGACCUGUAGACUGUAACAGUGCCUCAGAUUCCUGCAGGCAGGCUGAGCUACAGAACAGACUGAAGCCUGGGAAAACGCCAUCAGACUCAGCUUCUGCCUCUGCACUGGUGAACCACAUAGGAACAGAAAUGGUUAAGAAGGAACCCGAGAGCUCUGUAAAUGCAUGUGCUCAACAGAACUGCCCCACUGCCCCACGAUAUGGCCCCACAGUGGCCAUCAGAACCACAGGAGCCAGACAGAGCCCCAGGAGGAGUGUAUGAGCACCGAUGAAAAGCCCUCCUUCUCAAUCACCAGCAGUUCCUUCACAGAUGCACCAUCUAGAGGCAGCCAGGAGCACGACUCAGUGAAGUUUGGUUCAGCACCUACUCCAGACAUAAAGGCUGCUCCUGCACUGAUGGACUCACUGCUGCCCAACACACUGUCCUCCAUCACCAACCUGUCCAGCUGCAUGAAGGAUGGAAAAGAGGUGUGUGACUAUGCACAGAAAAGAGAACAGAAGUCUGAACAGAACAACGGCCUGCCAGAGAAAUCCUCCUCCAAGCGCUGCGCUUCUCCAUCCGUGGAGCUGGAGCUCAACGCUGGCCGGCUGCAGUUUGACGAUCUACCUCUGGGGGCUGGAGCUGCAGGCCCUGGUCUACGAGUGGCCCAGGUACGAUUGUUGGACCGCAGAACCAGCAGCAGGCCAAGCAGCCGACCUGGGACUCCAAAUUCCAACACUUCAUCCACCCCAACCCCCUCAGAGGAGCAGAACGAUGGAGAGGAGGAGGCAGCAGAGCCCGAGGAUGAAGUUCAGGGUGCAGAGCUCGAGCGUUCUACAGUUUCUGCUCCGACCCUGUGACUCCUCAAGAGGCCCUUUCAGCUCCUAAUAGCGGCUGCUAUGGAGAGAAACCCCACUCAAUUUCAGCUGGAUUCAGGAUGUCAUCGCUCUCCAGUGCAGUAUCAUGUGACACCUAUCCAUCAAACAGAAGGCCUCAUCAACAGAGUGGGACUUUGAGAAGCAAAUACACAAUCAAGUGGACCAUCAGAGGACAUGAAAACUCAGGCCUCAUUAGAAAGGACUUCUUCCCCUGAUGCCUGCUCUAAAGCUUGCAGUACACCCAGUGACUCCCAGGGGGCCUCUCUUUCCAAGGACAGCCCAUCAGGGCUAGUUCUUUGCAAAUGCACCGUGACACCAUGUCAGAACUGUAGGAAACCUAAUGGACCUCUGGAAUUGGUUCAGCCUCCCAGAGCCAAUGGACCUGUAGACUGUAACAGUGCCUCAGAUUCCUGCAGGCAGGCUGAGCUACAGAACAGACUGAAGCCUGGGAAAACGCCAUCAGACUCAGCUUCUGCCUCUGCACUGGUGAACCACAUAGGAACAGAAAUGGUUAAGAAGGAACCCGAGAGCUCUGUAAAUGCAUGUGCUCAACAGAACUGCCCCACUGCCCCCACGAUAUGGCCCCACAGUGGCCAUCAGAACCACAGGAGCCAGACAGAGCCCCAGGAGGAGUGUAUGAGCACCGAUGAAAAGCCCUCCUUCUCAAUCACCAGCAGUUCCUUCACAGAUGCACCAUCUAGAGGCAGCCAGGAGCACGACUCAGUAAAGUUUGGUUCAGCACCUACUCCAGACAUAAAGGCUGCUCCUGCACUGAUGGACUCACUGCUGCCCAACACACUGUCCUCCAUCACCAACCUGUCCAGCUGCAUGAAGGAUGGAAAAGAGGAGGAUGGGGGUGAGUUUGUCACUCUGUGGCCACAUGUGACAAUUUAAGAGCCUUUGUAUUGCUGUGUUCUGCUAUGAAGCACACGAAGAUGUAAUUAGCUUCUAGCGGUUGUGUUUGUGUUUUUGUGCACGGAUCGAGCUGGACAAACUGGAUGCAGAGAUGAUCGAGCUCUUGGCCAAUCAGAGGAUCCAGCAGCUCUUUGCUCCCAAAGUGCCCAGUACUCAACCUCCCCCCACCACCAGCACUACCCCAAAAACCUCAGCACCCCACCCAAACAGUCAGAAAAAGGUGCAAGCCCGAGCGGUCUUUUACCCUCUGACAGGAAAAGGAGCAGCUGUCAGCAUGUGCUAUAGGACGUUACACAUAGGAUCAGGUGCUGACAUGGAUGUGUGCCUUACAAACUACGGUCACUGCAACUACAUAUCGGGGAAACAUGCCUGUAUUUUCUAUGAUGAGGUCGCAGUAAGAAACGGGAAGAGGAUGAGGGAGCCAACUCCGUGGUGGGGUUGUUGCCAGUAGGUGGAGUGAUGAGUAGCCAACGUCAGGGUGGUGCUGAGCCGUCUUGUAGCUGCAAAGCGAGUAGCUCCAGUCUAAUUGGAGGCAGCGGGGCAGGCUGGGAGGGCACGGCCCUGCUCCACCAUGGCAGCUACAUCAAACUGGGCUGCCUCCAAUUUGUCUUUAGCAUCACUGAGUUUGCCAGUAAGCAGCCCAAAGAGGAGCAGGCCACUACACCUGCUGCCAGUUGCACAAGCACCAGCAGCAGCAGCAGCAGCAGUGUCAUCAGCACCACCCUCACCACCACCGCUAACACCUCCACACCACCACCACCCAGCACCGCCGCAACGAGCGGCUUUUCCAACCAGGAUGAGGCUGACUCUGAGACUGUACCUCCCCACCAAGUGCCCGUACUGCGUUCUAACUCUGUUCCAUAAUCCGCACAGGAAGCCCCGCCCUCCCUCUUAUUUUGCACCUUCUGUGUCACAAUGAAGGGAAAGCUGCACAGCUGGUUGGUCAACAGGGAAAAGUUCUUUUUUGCUUGUUUGUUUUAAUGGUUUAUAUCUUUGCAUGAACUUCAAGUAUUAUUGACAGUCUUUUUUUUUUAUUUUAAAUGACGUAACCUUGUGUUCACUUCAGACCGUUAGGACUUUGAGCAAACAUUACUUCCUUGCGCUCAAUCUUUGUUUUUGCCAGUAUAAGUUAUGUAUGGUGUAACCUUUUUGUCAGUCAGCCCAUUUAGCACAAACAUUUUUUUUUUUUUUCCUUUGUAGUAUUGAAUUCCAUACAUUCUAAUUUCUUUUGCUGCUUUUGCACCACAGGUAGCUAUAUAUGUAUGAAAACAUACAUGCUUAUACACUAUAACAUGUAUAUAUAAUGUAAAUACAUUUUAAUUCAGUGCCUCUCGAUUGGAGAAACAUUGGAUUUCAUGUAGAUUUGCCAUUUUUUGGUUUUUAACUGUACAUUGAAUUUGUGAUACUGUGUAGAGUACCAGACGUUUUGUGAUAAAACUUGUUCUUAGUCUGUACUUUCCGCUGUAGUCCAUCUGUAAAUACCGUAUAGUUUUAGCACUCAUUUUAACAUCUUGUGCUGCUGUGUAUAUAAGCACUCUUUGUCUGUACCUGCUUGUCUGUUCAAACCUGUAAAUACAGAAAGAUUUUCUAAGAACAAA